CCCAAGUUGUUGCCACGCAUUCCUAGAACAAGAUCCAUUCAUCAAUCAAUUGAAGAAAGAAACCGUCAAAAAUUUAAUCAAGCUAUAUCCAAGAAGGAAAGGGUAAUUUAAUUUCAAAUUCAAUAAUCUCACCUUCAAUCAAUUUUUGCAUAAUAUUCAAUGACAUACAAUUAAAUUUUCCAUUAUUGUUCAUAAUUUUGAUAGUUUAAAUCAAUUUAAAAGAAGUCAAUAUCUCAAUUGGGAAAUACACUAAAGUUACCAAAAACUCGGAGAAAUAAAAAUUGAGACCUCUGCAAUAAAAAUUAAAAGGCUUAAAAGAUGGAG
rnacentral:misc_RNA from 1 species